GUUCAAAUGAGGAAGGGAUUACGAUGGAUACCUAGGAACCCAAAGACGAGGAAGGGCAUGGUAAGCGACAAAAUUCUUCGAGGAGUUGAAAAUGAUCAUAGAUCCGGAGAUUCUCGAAUAGGUUAACCUUUUUAACUGAUUCUUAAUCCAUGGGCAGGCAAGAGACAAGCUGGUGAACUGAAACAUCUUAGUAUCCAUAUGAAUAGAAAGAAAAAUAUAUUCCCGUAGUAGCAGUGAGAGAAAUGGGAGCAACCUAAACCGUGAAAACGGGGUUAUGGGAGAGAACAAUAUAAGCUUUGUACUACUAGGUGAAGCGGUUGUGUCCUACACCCUAUAUGGUGAGAUUCCAGUAGCCAAAAGAAUCAUUGGGUUAAACUCUAACCUGAGUAGCAUGUGGCACGUGGAAUCCUAUGUGAAUCAGCAAGGACCACCUUGCAAGGAUAAAUAUUCCUGGGUGACCGAUAGUGAAGUAGUACCGUGAGGGAAAGGUGAAAAGAACCCCCAUCGGAGAGUGAAAUAGAACAUGAAACCGUAAGCUCCCAAGCAGUGGGAGGAAAAUGAUAUCUUUGACCGUGUGCCUAUUGAAGAAUGAGCUAACAACUUAUAGGUAGUGGAUUAGUUAAGGGAACCCACCAAAGCCGUAGCGAGAGCGAGUCUUCAUUGGGAAAUUGUCACUUCUUAUGGACUCAAACCUGGGUGAUCUAUCCAUGACCAGGAUGAAGAUUGGGUGAAACUAAGUGGAGGUCUGAACCGACUGAUGUUGAAAAAUCAGUGGAUGAGUCAUGGUUAGGGGUGAA
rnacentral:ncRNA from 1 species